rnacentral:misc_RNA from 1 species
UUGGUUUGUUAUUCUUUCGAAUAAAGUUUUAAUAAGUUCGUUAUCAAAUGGUUUUUUUUAUUCCAAAAGGAAUAGACAAUGGUCUGAAACGUGAGCUGACGGUGUUACGGUCAACCACGGAAAAAAUGUUUUAUGGUACGCGGGUCGGUUUUGGAUUUCUUGGUUGAGGUUGUUACGCCUCGACCAAUACGUCCAAGAAAAGGGUGUGGUAAUGAUCCUUCCGCAGGUUCACCUACGGAAA